CCGUAAUGUGGACCAGACACAUCGAUUUGCGCAGAGUAUGAUAUUUAUUUUUUACUGAAAAUACUCGAUAUUAUGAUGGUAUUACUCUUGCAUUUUCAUAUUAUUUUAUGCAGAAACAAAAUCACCUUCAUGGCGUGGCUCCAAACCUUCGAAGUUCAGGGAUUUCCAGCUAACAGGGACUGGCCAACAGCAGCAAAUACAAUGGCAGUGGUGGGAACAAGGCGGUUUUGACUCUUCGAAAGAAGAUGGCCAUCAAGAACAGUUUUCAAAUGAAUCAUAUGUGGAAUGGAUGUCUCAGGCCCCCGUGUUUGUCCUCGUUGUGGCUCCUUCUCACCGCACCGGGUCGUCCUACUUGGGGGAAUUGGUGGCCUCUCUUCGCAGCUCAGUCUACUUCUUCGAACCUUUGUGGUACUUUCCUACAUAUGAAAAAAUCUACGACGUUAACUCUGAUAAACUGAGAGAAGUAAUCAGGCUACUAUUUACGUGUCAGCUUACUUCGGUCAAAUACAUUUUACCUGAUCUGCACGCGAUGAAAUUCAUCAUUAGGCGACCUCGAGGCCUGAGUAUGC